rnacentral:rRNA from 1 species
GCGCGAAACCUCCGCAAUGUGAGAAAUCGCGACGGGGGGGACCCCAAGUGCCAUUCUUAACGGGAUGGCUUUUCUUAAGUGUAAAAAGCUUUUGGAAUAAGAGCUGGGCAAGACCGGUGCCAGCCGCCGCGGUAACACCGGCAGCUCUAGUGGUAGCCAUUUUUAUUGGGCCUAAAGCGUUCGUAGCCGGUUUAAUAAGUCUCUGGUGAAAUCCCGUAGCUUAACUAUGGGAAUUGCUGGAGAUACUAUUAGACUUGAGGUCGGGAGAGGUUAGAGGUACUCCCAGGGUAGGGGUGAAAUCCUGUAAUCCUGGGAGGACCACCUGUGGCGAAGGCGUCUAACUGGAACGAACCUGACGGUGAGGGACGAAAGCUAGGGGCGCGAACCGGAUUAGAUACCCGGGUAGUCCUAGCCGUAAACGAUGCGGACUUGGUGUUAGGAUGGCUUUGAGCCGCCCUAGUGCCGAAGGGAAGCUGUUAAGUCCGCCGCCUGGGAAGUACGGUCGCAAGACUGAAACUUAAAGGAAUUGGCGGGGAGCACCACAACGCGUGGAGCCUGCGGUUU